UACGUAGGUGGCAAGCGUUAUCCGGAAUUAUUGGGCGUAAAGCGCGCGCAGGUGGUUUCUUAAGUCUGAUGUGAAAGCCCACGGCUCAACCGUGGAGGGUCAUUGGAAACUGGGAGACUUGAGUGCAGAAGAGGAAAGUGGAAUUCCAUGUGUAGCGGUGAAAUGCGCAGAUAUCCGGAGGAACACCGGUGGCGAAGGCGGCUUCCUGGACCGACACUGACGCUGAGAAGCGAAAGCAUGGGGAGCGAACAGG
rnacentral:rRNA from 1 species